GUGAGGGAUAUUGGGCAAUGGGGGUAACCCUGACCCAGCCAUGCCGCGUGAGGGAAUGAGGCCCUACGGGUCGUGAACCUCUUUUAUUCGGGGACAAGGACGGGGUCGUGAACUCCGUUUGAGGGUACCGAAGGAAUAAGCGUCGGCUAACUCCGUGCCAGCAGCCGCGGUAAUACGGAGGACGCGAGCGUUAUCCGGAUUCAUUGGGUUUAAAGGGUGCGCAGGCGGCCUGCCAAGUCAGCGGUGAAAGCCCGGGGCCCAACCCCGGAAGUGCCGUUGAUACUGGUGGGCUGGAAUGCGGUCGAGGCGGGCGGAACGUGGCGUGUAGCGGUGAAAUGCGUAGAUAUGCCACAGAACGCCGAUAGCGAAGGCAGCUCGCCAGGCCUGCAUUGACGCUCGGGCACGAAAGCGUGGGGAUCGAACAGG
rnacentral:rRNA from 1 species